rnacentral:rRNA from 1 species
GCGAAGCCUGAUCCAGCCAUGCCGCGUGUGUGAAGAGGGUCUUCGGAUUGUAAAGCACUUUAAGCUGGGAGGAAGGGCAGUAAGCGAAUACCUUGCUGUUUUGACGUUACCAGCAGAAUAAGCACCGGCUAACUCUGUGCCAGCAGCCGCGGUAAUAA